rnacentral:misc_RNA from 1 species
GAUGAAGAACGUAGCGAAAUGCGAUAAGUAAUGUGAAUUGCAGAAUUCAGUGAAUCAUCGAAUCUUUGAACGCACAUUGCGCCCCUUGGUAUUCCGCGGGGCAUGCCUGUUCGAGCGUCAUUAUAACCCCUCAAGCUCAGCUUGGUGUUGGGGCCUGCCGACUGGCAGCCCUUAAAAUCAGUGGCGGCGCCAUCUGGCUCUAAGCGUAGUAAUUUCUCUCGCUAUAGAGUCCCGGUGGAUGCUUGCCAGCAACCCCCAACUUUCUAUGGUUGACCUCGGAUCAGGUAGGGAUACCCGCUGAACUUAAGCAUAUCAAUAAGCGGAGGA